rnacentral:rRNA from 1 species
GUACACUCCUGCGGGAGGCAGCAGUGGGGAAUUUUGGACAAUGGGCGAAAGCCUGAUCCAGCAAUGCCGCGUGAGUGAAGAAGGCCUUCGGGUUGUAAAGCUCUUUUGUCAGGGAAGAAACGGUGAGAGCUAAUAUCUCUUGCUAAUGACGGUACCUGAAGAAUAAGCACCGGCUAACUACGUGCCAGCAGCCGCGGUAAUACGUAGGGUGCAAGCGUUAAUCGGAAUUACUGGGCGUAAAGCGUGCGCAGGCGGUUUUGUAAGUCUGAUGUGAAAUCCCCGGGCUCAACCUGGGAAUUGCAUUGGAGACUGCAAGGCUAGAAUCUGGCAGAGGGGGGUAGAAUUCCACGUGUAGCAGUGAAAUGCGUAGAUAUGUGGAGGAACACCGAUGGCGAAGGCAGCCCCCUGGGUCAAGAUUGACGCUCAUGCACGAAAGCGUGGGGAGCAAACAGGAUUAGAUACCCGAGUAGUCCCAUGAU